CCCUUAGAUGUUCUGGGCCGCACGCGUGCUACACUGAGUGGAUCAGCGGGUCAGGUUACGCGAGAGCGUUUCCUAAUCUUCAAAUCCGCUCGUGAUGGGGAUUGACGGUUGCAAUUUUCCGUCAUGAACGAGGAAUACCUUGUAAGCGCGGGUCAUCAUCCCGCGCUGAAUACGUCCCUGCCCUUUGUACACACCGCCCGUCGCUCCUACCGAUUGAGUGGUUCGGUGAGGCUUUGGGAUCUAAGCGAAAAGAGCGUUUCGCUCCUUUUGCUGGGAGAACUCAGUCGAACCUUAUCAUUUAGAGGAAGGAGAAGUCGUAACA
rnacentral:rRNA from 1 species